rnacentral:hammerhead_ribozyme from 1 species
AUACUGAUGAAGAGUCCCAAAAUAGGACGAAACAGCUGUCCAGUAC